UACAGAGGGUGCGAGCGUUAAUCGGAAUUACUGGGCGUAAAGCGUGCGUAGACGGUUCCGUAAGUCGGGUGUGAAAGCCCCGGGCUCAACCUGGGAAUUGCAUUCGAGACUGCGAGGCUAGGGUGCGGAAGAGGGAAGCGGAAUUUCCGGUGUAGCGGUGAAAUGCGUAGAUAUCGGAAGGAACAUCAGUGGCGAAGGCGGCUUCCUGGUCCAGCACCGACGUUCAGGCACGAAAGCGUGGGGAGCAAACAG
rnacentral:rRNA from 1 species